UACGUAGGGGACAAGCGUUAUCCGGAUUUACUGGGUGUAAAGGGAGCGUAGACGGCAAGGCAAGUCUGAUGUGAAAACCCAGGGCUUAACCCUGGGACUGCAUUGGAAACUGUCUGGCUCGAGUGCCGGAGAGGUAAGCGGAAUUCCUAGUGUAGCGGUGAAAUGCGUAGAUAUUAGGAAGAACACCAGUGGCGAAGGCGGCUUACUGGACGGUAACUGACGUUGAGGCUCGAAAGCGUGGGGAGCAAACAGG
rnacentral:rRNA from 1 species